GACCGGCUUCCAAUGUGACAGUGCUGCCCCAUUUCACGUAAACAUCACGUGUAAAGCCACAGCAAUGAUUGUAGAAUGGGUCUGUCCAAAUGGUCACAGAGUGUGGCGAUGGACUUCUCAGCCUGUUUUAAAGUUUGGCAUGCAGGCAGGGGACUUUCUCCUCUCAACAAACAUUUUGCUGUCUGGAAGUAAUUACACCAAAGUUGCCUUGAUGUUCAAGUUCAUGAACAUGGGAAUGGUCAACCCAACCACCUUCUUCACAAUCCAAGACACCUACUGUGUUGACACAAUAAAAGAUGUCUGGGAAGAGAAGAGGUCUGAGGCCAUCAACCGCCUUCAAGGAAAGGACAUUGCAGUCUGUGGGGAUGGCAGAAAUGACUCGCCUGGCCAUAGUGCUCAGUACUGCAGCUACACCACAAUGGAGCUUGACUCGAAGGAGGUUAUUUAUGUGGCCACCGUUGACAAGCGAGAGACAUUGUGGAAUUCAUCAGUGAUGGAGAAGGAAGCCUUUGUCAGGACUGUGGACACGCUCUCCAAAGAGAUUAAUUUGGUGGAAUUCUGCACAGAUGCCCAUGUGCAGAUUGCGGCAUUGUUGAAUCCAGACAAGGGCAAAUACAAGGACCUUGGCAUCCAUCACAGCCUUGACAUGUGGCACGGUGCAAAGAAUCUGGCCAAAAAAAUCGCUGCGGCAUCAAAGGUGAAAGGGCAGUCUAUUCUACUCAACUGGCUGAAGGACAUCACCAACCACUUUUGGUGGUGUUGCAAGACCGCAGACACGUAUGCGGAAUUUCUUAACCUUUGGAUUGGCAUUACCCAUCAUGUAUGCAACGUACACUCAUGGAGAAUGGGCGGCUGCCAACACGGUCCAAUUGAAGAUGAGCCUGACAGACAGUGGAUGGAGAGAGAUUCCGUUAGCCACAAAGCGCUGGUAGACAUUGUCCUCAACAAGCGUUUUCGGAAGGAUGUCCACAAGUACUUGCGCUUCAGAUCAACAUCGCAGUUGGAGUCGUUCCAGAACCACAUACUCAUGUAUGCCAGUAAGCGCCACUCCUUCAGCCCACCGGUUUAUGAAGCUCGAGUUUUGUUGGCAGCUCUGGACUACAACUUCCAUCGUGACAGGCCAAUGCUCACAACAACAGAGGGCCAACAAAUUUUCAGACGGACAUACAACAAAAAUGCCAGGAGGUACAGCCUGUAUGCUGCAAAGGCGCAGAAGACCUAAGACUACAUCCCAAAUCUGCAAGGGAGAAUUGUUGAGCAACGACUCAGCAGUGGGGUUGGAAUGCCCAGGACCAGGACACUUCGACCUGACGACCCUAGGAGACUUGGCGUUGUGCCCCCAGUCCCUCCACCAACGAUGUCAGAGCUCGUGCAGACACAAGUCAGCCGAGGUCUUGCUUCUGCUUUCCAGGCAGCUGCUGAUGACGACCAAUGAUGUGCUUCAUGACCACCUCCAUCCUGAUGUGAAGUUUUUUUUUUUUUCCCUUUACAUUUAUUGUUGGGAGAAUCGUUCUUUUCUUGACUUUUUUUUAUGAAUGUAUGUAUAUUCUGUAUAUAAAAACAGCACUGACAAAGUGUUAUCUUUCUUUUUUUAUUGCUAAAAGAAAUAGAAAUUGCACUGCAUUACAAUGUAACUUGUACAAACUGUUCAAAAACAAAAGUCUAACUAUUUACAGUAAAAAUAAACCAAAUAUUUUAAAUUAAAAAGUCUGUCAAAAAUCUGAAUUAUCUAUUUACAAGUACAAAUGAAAAAUCAAUUAAAUAGAGGGUAUGAAUCCAGCAUAUUGCCCGUGGGGAUCAGGGAACUUGUCCCUGAUUUUCCAGACACAACAGCUCGGAAUGACCCUCCUGUUGCCCUGCCCCAAGGACCCAUGCUGCCAAAAUAUGUAGUGGCGGUAGGCAGCAUACCGGAAUUCUCUGUUAUCGUUCCCCGGCUCUCUAAUGGCACCUAGCCCAGUCACAUCUUCCCGGUACUGCCUGUGCACCCUCAGGUAUGCUGGAUCAAGGCAAAACUGUAAAAAGUGUCUGAGUGUACUUGAACAACUCUGAGGGUCCUGUCCACAGCACUGCUUCUCCCGGUCGGUUGGCAUUUCCCGACAAUUCCCACAACUGCACCAAGGCACCACUGGUGAACCUGCAGGAGAUGGGGCACCAUGCCUGUUCCGCCACCGCUGCAGGACAUCAAAGACCAGGCCAG